GGCAGGCCUAACACAUGCAAGUCGAGCGGUAGCACAGAGAGCUUGCUCUCGGGUGACGAGCGGCGGACGGGUGAGUAAUGUCUGGGAAACUGCCUGAUGGAGGGGGAUAACUACUGGAAACGGUAGCUAAUACCGCAUAACGUCGCAAGACCAAAGUGGGGGACCUUCGGGCCUCAUGCCAUCAGAUGUGCCCAGAUGGGAUUAGCUAGUAGGUGGGGUAAUGGCUCACCUAGGCGACGAUCCCUAGCUGGUCUGAGAGGAUGACCAGCCACACUGGAACUGAGACACGGUCCAGACUCCUACGGGAGGCAGCAGUGGGGAAUAUUGCACAAUGGGCGCAAGCCUGAUGCAGCCAUGCCGCGUGUAUGAAGAAGGCCUUCGGGUUGUAAAGUACUUUCAGCGAGGAGGAAGGCGUUAAGGUUAAUAACCUUAGCGAUUGACGUUACUCGCAGAAGAAGCACCGGCUAACUCCGUGCCAGCAGCCGCGGUAAUACGGAGGGUGCAAGCGUUAAUCGGAAUUACUGGGCGUAAAGCGCACGCAGGCGGUCUGUCAAGUCGGAUGUGAAAUCCCCGGGCUCAACCUGGGAACUGCAUUCGAAACUGGCAGGCUAGAGUCUUGUAGAGGGGGGUAGAAUUCCAGGUGUAGCGGUGAAAUGCGUAGAGAUCUGGAGGAAUACCGGUGGCGAAGGCGGCCCCCUGGACAAAGACUGAC
rnacentral:rRNA from 1 species